rnacentral:rRNA from 1 species
UACGUAGGGUCCAAGCGUUGUCCGGAUUUAUUGGGCGUAAAGAGCUCGUAGGCGGCUUAGUAAGUCGGAUGUGAAAACUCGGGGCUCAACCCCGAGACGCCAUCCGAUACUGCUGUGGCUUGAGUCUGGUAGGGGAACACGGAAUUCCUGGUGUAGCGGUGAAAUGCGCAGAUAUCAGGGGAACACCGGUGGCGAAGGCGGGUCUCUGGGCAGUAACUGACGCUGAGGAGCGAAAGCGUGGGGAGCGAACAGG